GCCACCUGCGGGCCGGGGGCCGGGGUGAGACGUCGGGGGUAGUGGGUGUCCGGAUUUAUUGGGGUUAAAUAGCGCGUAGGCGGCUUGUUGCGUCGACCGUGAAAACCCACAGCUCAACUGUGGGCUGUCGGUGGAUACGGGCGGGCUUGAGUUCGGUAGGGGAGACUGGAAUUCCUGGUGUAGCGGUGAAAUGCGCAGAUAUCAGGAGGAACACCGGUGGCGAAGGCGGGUCUCUGGGCCGAUACUGACGCUGAGGAGCGAAAGCGUGGGGAGCGAACAGGAUUAGAUACCCUUGUAGUC
rnacentral:rRNA from 1 species